UCCUUGGUGGUCCAGUGGUUAGGACUCUGUGCUUUCACUGCUGAGGGCUCAGGUUCAAUCCCUGGUUGGGGAA
rnacentral:tRNA from 1 species